AUGAACGCUGGCGGCGUGCCUAAUACAUGCAAGUCGAGCGAACAGACGAGGAGCUUGCUCCUCUGACGUUAGCGGCGGACGGGUGAGUAACACGUGGAUAACCUACCUAUAAGACUGGGAUAACUUCGGGAAACCGGAGCUAAUACCGGAUAACAUGUUGAACCGCAUGGUUUAACAGUGAAAGACGGUCUUGCUGUCACUUAUAGAUGGAUCCGCGCCGCAUUAGCUAGUUGGUAAGGUAACGGCUUACCAAGGCAACGAUGCGUAGCCGACCUGAGAGGGUGAUCGGCCACACUGGAACUGAGACACGGUCCAGACUCCGACGGGAGGCAGCAGUAGGGAAUCUUCCGCAAUGGGCGAAAGCCUGACGAAGCAACGCCGCGUGAGUGAAGAAGGUCUUCGGAUCGUAAAACUCUGUUAUUAGGGAAGAACAAAUGUGUAAGUAACUAUGCACGUCUUGACGGUACCUAAUCAGAAAGCCACGGCUAACUACGUG
rnacentral:rRNA from 1 species